rnacentral:lncRNA from 1 species
AUGAGUUCAGACACAGAAGGGAUUCUUCAAGAAACAGAAGAGAGAGUGGAUGAAACAGACUCUGAAGACUACUUUCAGAAAGAAAGAUCAGAUCAAACUUCGAGGAAGAAAGGUCUGUGGAAGAUUGGGAACAUAAGGAUGAAUGGAGAUUACACCAAUAAAUUGUAUUUCCAGCCUGUAUUUAACAAUAUUGCCUGUGCCUAUGGCUUUAAUAGCGAUGCAAUUUGACUUGGAUUCCUGCAACUGUCAAAGUGAAUGAAAUGAAGCGUGAAUCCCAUUGCUUUAUCCUCCUGCAUUUGGGUUUGUUUUCUAAAGUAAUUACUUGCAGGAAGUAGCAUUUCCUUUUGUUUUUCUGCUGCAGAAAAUAAAG